ACCUAACUGGCUCAGCUGAUUGAGCAUUUGAUUCUUGAUCUUGGGGUCAUGAGCUCAAACCCCAUGUUGGGUG
rnacentral:tRNA from 1 species